rnacentral:tRNA from 1 species
GGAGGCGUGUCCGAACUGGCUAAGGAGCCGGUCUUGAAAACCGGUGGGCCGGAAGGCCCGUGUGGGUUCGAGUCCCACCGCCUCCG